GAGUUUGAUCCUGGCUCAGGAUGAACGCUGGCGGCGUGCCUAAUACAUGCAAGUCGAGCGAACAGAUAAGGAGCUUGCUCCUUUGACGUUAGCGGCGGACGGGUGAGUAUCACGUGGGUAACCUACCCAUAAGACUGGAAUAACUCCGGGAAACCGGGGCUAAUGCCGGAUAAUAUUUAGAACCGCAUGGUUCUAAAGUGAAAGAUGGCCUUGCUAUCACUUAUGGAUGGACCCGCGCCGUAUUAGCUAGUUGGUAAGGUAACGGCUUACCAAGGCAACGAUACGUAGCCGACCUGAGAGGGUGAUCGGCACACUGGAACUGAGACACGGUCCAGACUCCUACGGGAGGCAGCAGUAGGAAUCUUCCGCAUGGGCGAAAGCCUGACGGAGCAACGCCGCGUGAGUGAUGAAGGUCUUCGGAUCGUAAAGCUCUGUUAUUAGGGAAGAACAAAUGCGUAAAGUAACUGUGCGCGUCUUUGACGGUACCUAAUCAAAAGCCCGGCUUACUACGUGCCACAGCCGCGGUAAUACGUAUGGUGGCAAGCCGUAUCCGGAAUUAUUGGGCGUAAACGCGCGUAGCGGUUUUUUAAGUCUGAUGUGAAAAGCCCACGGUCAACCGGGGGAUGGUCAUUGGAAACUGGGAAAACUUUGGGUGCAAAAU
rnacentral:rRNA from 1 species